UACAGAGGUCUCAAGCGUUGUUCGGAUUCAUUGGGCGUAAAGGGUGCGUAGGCGGCGCGGUAAGUCGGGUGUGAAAUCUUGGAGCUUAACUCCGAAACUGCAUUCGAUACUGCCGUGCUUGAGGACUGGAGAGGAGACUGGAAUUUACGGUGUAGCGGUGAAAUGCGUAGAUAUCGUAAGGAAGACCAGUGGCGAAGGCGGGUCUUUGGACAGUUCCUGACGCUGAGGCACGAAGGCCAGGGGAGCAAACGGG
rnacentral:rRNA from 1 species